UGCGUAGGCGGCUAAGUAAGUCAGAGGUGAAAGUCUGCAGCUCAACUGUAGGAUUGCCUUUGAUACUGCGUAGCUUGAAUGAGGUUGAGGUCAGCGGAAUGUGACAUGUAGCGGUGAAAUGCAUAGAUAUGUCAUAGAACACCGAUUGCGAAGGCAGCUGGCUGGACCUGAAUUGACGCUGAGGUACGAAAGCGUGGGGAGCGAACAGGAUUAGAUACCCUGGUAGUCC
rnacentral:rRNA from 1 species